rnacentral:lncRNA from 1 species
UGUUUUCUGGUCAUGAGACAGGAGCUCCUGUGUCCUUGUGUGUUGCCAUGGUCUCACUCUGUGCUGGGGACUAUCACACUUAUCUUCAAAUGCACGACUUUGCCUUUAUUUCGACUUACACUCACCCGGCCAGAAGUAAAAGGCUGAUAGUAUCCGGUGGACAUUCAAUAGAGAAGACUGCAGCAUCAGGCCACAAAUUCUAAUCCUUCACCAUCACAUUGUGGGGGGCUCCGUGUGGAAGACCUGACUGUCAGAGCAGACUCUACUACUGGGUGCUCUGCUAAUCAUCACAGAACCCCAAGAGACAAGCUCAGGUCCUGGACCCUCUGUAAACUGUGUAUACUUUGACAAAUCACUUAAACUCUAUGCUUGUUUUUCAUCUGGGAAGCAGAGACUUUUACUAGAAAAUAAUGAAGUUCUCUCCGCUCCCCCACCCUGGUACCAGGAAUCGAACUUGGGACCCUGCACCUGCCAGUACUAGGAAUUGAACUCAGGACCUUGCACUUGUGAAGCAGGUGCGGUGCUACUGAGCUACAUCGCCAGCCCGUGGCAUGCCGUUUUAUAUACGGGACUCUGGUGUCCCUAGAUGUCGAUAUCUGUAGGG